AUUGAACGCUGGCGGCAGGCCUAACACAUGCAAGUCGAACGGUAACAGGAAGAAGCUUGCUUCUUUGCUGACGAGUGGCGGACGGGUGAGUAAUGUCUGGGAAACUGCCUGAUGGAGGGGGAUAACUACUGGAAACGGUAGCUAAUACCGCAUAACGUCGCAAGACCAAAGAGGGGGACCUUCGGGCCUCUUGCCCUCGGAUGUGCCCAGAUGGGAUUAGCUAGUAGGUGGGGUAACGGCUCACCUAGGCGACGAUCCCUAGCUGGUCUGAGAGGAUGACCAGACACACUGGAACUGAGACACGGUCCAGACUCCUACGGGAGGCAGCAGUGGGGAAUAUUGCACAAUGGGCGCAAGCCUGAUGCAGACAUGCCGCGUGUAUGAAGAAGGCCUUCGGGUUGUAAAGUACUUUCAGCGGGGAGGAAGGGAGUAAAGUUAAUACCUUUACUCAUUGACGUUACCCGCAGAAGAAGCACCGGCUAACUCCGUG
rnacentral:rRNA from 1 species